CCUGUUAGCGACUCCUGACGCCCAUGCCACACCCGGUAAACCCCCUUCGACUCCUGACGCCGUGUCUCCGCUACUCCCGGCCGCCGCUCUGUUGUACCUCAAGACUACGUCGGAUACUCGUCUAGGUCAGACGACCUCCUCCAGCCCCUCUCGAACCACGGCCGACGAUCAACAGCAACAGAAACCACACCCCCUAAACAUCCGCCAUGGCGCCCGACUCCGCUGCGCCGUGUGGUCGCCUGUCGCCUCGCCACCACUCGUGUUCCCUCUCGAGCGGCGGCUACAGCCUCGACAGUUGCCCCUUCUGCUUAGGGGCUCGUGACCCCACCUUGAUCUCCGAUUCCUAACCAUAACGGAGGGGCUCGUUUUGUGGCGCGGAUUUGGCUCAUUCAUACAAGCUUUUCCGUCAGUCCACAAAACGCCUCUUGGGUUGACUUUUACACUACUGUGACCAAGAACCGUGAUGAAAGUUGAGACCGGCUCCGUAUGUUAAAGAUGUCAAACACAAGUACCCUUUUCCCCAAACGGUAGGCCAUGCCGUUCUCGGCCGAUUUAAAGCUCUCCUGCUUCACGUACGUCCUCUAUCAAACACCCACGAACCAAUUACUGAUUAAACCAAAACGACCAAACACUAGCCAUUAAAUUAAGUCAAACACUUAAAAAAACGUCCCAUUCCGACCCCAACUCUUGUGUUCCAGAACGGCACCGGGUAUUGCAAUGUAAGACAGACCGACGCCCCUGUCCUUGAAGUGAAAAGGUAAGCUGUCUUCCAACGUUAAUAGGUCAAAAAGGAUCUGUCUUCUCUUCGACCCCGCCGCCGCAGGAACGCAUCCUCCCGCUGCGGUAACUUCUGUACCUUAAGAAAGAUGUCGGCCAAUUUUCCACUACAUAGGGAUCUGAGCAAGUUAAUGCAUUCUACUAUAUCGACCUCGACGUUAAAGAAUCUCUAAAGGGGGAGGGUUGUACAGUCCUAAGGUUAGGAACUCCCCUACCUACCGUGGCUAUCGGACGACCUAUACCCCUUCAUGCGGACGGCUGGGAACCUCGAGGUGACGACCGUCGGUACUCAGUAUUCUUCACCUUCACUACUCACCCUCGGCAUCGAGGAUCUACACCUACGGCCUGGUCAAUUGCCCUUCGCGUCGAGAGGCUGAUAUAGAGUCGUUAGCUACCCCUUCCACUUAGGUCUCUGAGGACCUACCUGUUUUUCCCCUUCGUCCCAAUCUCUUAUGUGUCAGUACGGCAACACUUACGGGACGUGACUGGGUCAACGAAUCCAGUCUCCUGUUACCAAACAUUUACAGAUUCGUGUUCCUCUUUAUGUUAGUAAGUGAGAGAGGUUUAACCGCCCUUGAACCCAACACUGGUUCGCCUACUACUACACUCCUUUUGCUACCUUAAUAAAUUCCUCAACCCACGGUUGUUAGGCACCAAGUGUAUAGCUCAACUUCGUCUAAACCUCCCGGCUUAUUUUACAAACUACACCUACUUACCAUCGUCGGUAAACGCUGAUGUCCGCAGACGCACCAAAUGUCCGCUCUACUUGGGAUCUCGAGAACCGACCUGUGUUGUCAUACACGUAAGUCACGAUGUUUAAGGCUUUUUUCCAUUGCUAACCACACCGACGCAUUUCCUCCUGUGGAACAGGAUUAGCGGGUUCAAGCAACCUCUUUCGUUAAGCACCCAAGCGACUCUUAGGUCCCCUUUUACACUAACAUGACUUUGACCCAUAUUCUAAACUAGAAAUCCACUUCGUAUGUUGAACAUGAGGACGCCCUUCCCCAAACCAUAAUGUAUAACCUUUUCGUCUGAUUUACAAAUCUCCUGUUUUACGUCCGUCCUUUAGUAAACGUCGACACGCCCUUCCGACCGCAACUCUUGUCAGCCAGUACGGUAACACUCACAACCCGAGAAUAUGCUAACAACGCUAGCUUUCCGUUACCAACCACGUAUAGUCUCGUAGCCCUCGUUGUGUAGGUUAGAAACAGAGGAUUAACGCCUCUCUGUUAUGUGACGGAAGUGUGUUUGUGUAGCUGCAAAUGUUGGCUCUGACCACUUCGUCGAUGCCGUUUUAUUGCAGUUAGAUCGGUUCCAUAUGUUGUAGUAUCUCUCAAAAAAGUGGUUCGCUCGAGAGGUAUUAAACACACCCCUUUAUUUGGUACUCGUCCGUAUCCUGCUACACUCGUUUUGAUACAUCCAAAAGUGACUUGACCCACGUUUCCUAGCUGUAAAGUGCAUAGAACACGUCCGACUAUUCCUUCCCACUUAGUCAUUUUAAACCCACUUACCCUCGUCAUCUAACGUCAUUUUAAAACUCCUAUUGUGUUUUUUUAGUUUUAAAAUUGUUGUUCCCGUCCUCCAAACGGGUUCGACACAUCACAUAUUCGUCCCCCCACUCCCUAUCCACUCCCCGUGUGAGACUAAAGUCAGUAGGUGCACUUCGACAUCAACCUUAUUCUAGUUCAAAGUCACCCUCCACUUUAUCUCACUUACCGAGACUGGCUGAAUAGAUCGCGGAGGAGACACCGAUGCCCAAAGUUUUAUAUGACUUGACUAAUAUCUACUAAGACUAAUUGUCGACAUUCAAGUCUCGUAAUCGAGUCAAGGACACAUAACACAACUAUAAAACAUUGGACUUACACUACACUGCCACAACCUUCGUCUACAUAGUCUUAGUAGAAACUUAGCCGCACCGUCAGUCACGUCAAAGUCCACAGAGGCUACCCAGUAACGUCCAUGAUACGGACCGAAAUCCACGUUGACACACAUUA
rnacentral:rRNA from 1 species